rnacentral:rRNA from 1 species
AUGGAGGCGCACAGGCGGUGGGACACGUCGGGGAGCGGGUCGCGGUACAGCUUCAGGACGUCGGUGAGCAGCCUCGCGGACAUCGGCGGCGAGAUUGUGGAGGUGGACCAGGCCGGCGGCGAGCUGGAGGCCGCGGACAGGGUGUUCGUGGCCGUCCCCGGGGAGGUGAAGCACGGGAAGAGCGCCCUGCAGUGGGCGCUGCAGAACCUGGCCAAGGACGGCGCGCAGGUCGUGGUGGCUCACGUCCACCGCCCCGCGCAGAUGAUCCCCAUGAUGGGAGCAAAAAUGCACCAUACCAGGCUGGAUCCAGAACAGGUCAAGGACUACAGAAAGCAGGAGCUAGAAAAGGCAUUGGAAAGGCUAGAAGAAUAUGUUGUGCUAUGCACAAUGCUAAAGGACAGCUGUGAGAAGAUAAUAAUUGAGAAAGAUGAUGUUGCUAAAGGACUUGAGGAGCUUAUUGUUCUUCAUGGCAUCACCAAACUUGUCAUGGGAGCAGCUGCAGACAAACAUUACUCAAAGAAAAUGAAAAGACCAAAGUCCAAGACAGCAAUCAUACUAAUGGAGGCAGAAGCAUCACCAUGUAAGAUAUGGUUUACUACUUGUAAAGGGCAACUGAUAUGUACCAGGGAAGCAAACACAACCGUUCCUAUGAUACCACCAUCACCUGCAUCGACAGUUGCAUCAACAUUAUCAGCAAGCAGCCUUUCCAGCCACAUGAGAUCAAUUACAAUCCACCAGUCAGAGAGCGAAGCACCAAGCUCAAACGGAAGUCCACAGCAGAAUCUGAACAGAUCGAGAACAGAAGUGAUGCGGCAUCACUCUCGAGGAGCUGGCGGUACAGCACCUCAGCUAUUUGAACCUUUUGAGCUCAAUGUGAAUACCAGGCCAACAAGAACACCAUUGAGUUCUAUGGAUUCCUGGGGUGAAUUUGGGAGGAGAUCACAAAGCUCCUGGUACAAUCUAUCAAGGAACGAUGAUGCAAUCAGUGUCUCCGAAUCAGCAACACAUCAUCCAAUGCAUGAGUCUGACGAUGACCACUUUUCAUCUCCUUUUCAUGAGCUCGAGAAUCCAGGUGCUGAUGCGGAAAUGUACGGUAGACUUGAGGAGGCUCUCCGCGAAACUCAAGAAUCAAAGAAAGAGGUGUUCGAAGAAUCAACCAAGCGCCGAAAAGCCGAACUUGAUCUGCUUUCAGCUCUUCAAAAGGCCAAGGAGUUGGAGAAGUUGUAUCAUCACGAGAUAAGACAGAGAAAAACAAUCGAGGAGACACUCGUGAGACAGGCGCAGGAGCUCGAAGCAACGGAAAUUCAGUGUGACACGAUAUACGACCAACUACAUGAUGCAGAAGAACAGAAGGCCGUGUUGGAGCAGCGCAUGACCGAGAUGGAGUCUGCUCUUAGAGAUGGCGAGGAGAAGCUGGCCUCAAGCAAGUGCCUUCUCGAAGCGCUCCAAGCAGACAAAGAGAAGCUGCAACAAGAGAGCGAUGCCGCGGCAGCCGCAGCUGAAGAGUUGCGCCAGAAGAGCGAGCAGAGAAUUUCUAUGGCGACUGAAGCAUUGAACACCAAGUUCUCCGCCGUUGAGCUCGAGCAGGCAACUCGGAGCUUUGACGAAGCACUCAAGAUCGGUGAGGGCGGGUUCGGGUGUGUCUACAAAGGCUCACUUCGCAGCACAACCGUGGCUAUAAAGCUGUUGCACCCGAAAAGCUUGCAGGGCCAGUCAGAAUUCAACCAAGAGGUUGCUGUCCUCGGCAGAGUAAGGCACCCGAACCUCGUCGCGCUGAUAGGGUCAUGCCGGGAGGCGUUCGGCCUGGUGUACGAGUACCUCCCGAACGGCAGCCUCGAGGACCGGCUCGCGUGCGCCAACGACACGCCGCCGUUGACAUGGCAGGUGCGCACCAGGAUCAUCUAUGAGAUGUGCUCGGCCCUGACGUUCCUGCACUCGAACAAGCCGCACCCGGUGGUCCACGGCGACCUGAAGCCGGCCAACAUCCUCCUGGACGCCAACCUGGUGAGCAAGCUGGGGGACUUCGGCAUCUGCCGCCUGCUGACGCAGUCCGGCACCUCCACCGCCGCCACCACGCUGUACCGGACGACCACCCCGAGGGGGACCUUCGCGUACAUGGACCCGGAGUUCCUGUCUAGCGGCGAGCUGACGCCACGCUCCGACGUCUACUCCUUGGGCAUCAUCAUCCUGCAGCUCCUGACGGGCAGGCGACCCCAGAAGAUCGCCGAGGUGGUGGAGGACGCGGUGGAGAAGGGGGAGCUGCACACCGUCCUCGACCCCUCUGCGGGGGCCUGGCCGUUUGUGCAGGCCAACCAGCUCGCGCACCUCGGCCUGCGGUGUGCCGAGAUGAGCAGGAGGCGCCGCCCGGACCUUGCCCGGGAGGUUUGGACCGUGGUCGAGCCCCUGAUGAAGGCCGCCUCGCUGACUGCCCGGCGGCCGAUGUUCGCUGCCUCUCCCACUUUGCCGGACGAGGCUUCCACGCCGUCCUACUUCGUCUGCCCGAUCUUCCAGGAGAUGAUGAAUGACCCGCACAUCGCGGCCGACGGGUUCACGUACGAAGCAGAGGCGAUCAGAGGGUGGCUGGACAGCGGGCACGACACGUCGCCGAUGACGAACCUGAAGCUCGCGCACCGCGAGCUCACCCCCAACAGGGGGCUCCGCUCGGUGAUUCUCGAGUGGCAACAACAGCAUCGGCAGCGGUACCAGUACCAUGAGGACUGGAGAUGA